rnacentral:rRNA from 1 species
AACGAACGCUGGCGGCAUGCCUAACACAUGCAAGUCGAACGAGACCUUCGGGUCUAGUGGCGAACGGGUGCGUAACGCGUGGGAACCUGCCCUUAGGUUCGGAAUAACUCCCCGAAAGGGGUGCUAAUACCGGAUAAUGUCUUCGGACCAAAGAUUUAUCGCCUUUGGAUGGGCCCGCGUUGGAUUAGCUAGUUGGUAGGGUAAAAGCCUACCAAGGCGACGAUCCAUAGCUGGUCUGAGAGGAUGAUCAGCCACACUGGGACUGAGACACGGCCCAGACUCCUACGGGAGGCGGCAGUGGGGAAUAUUGGACAAUGGGCGAAAGCCUGAUCCAGCAAUGCCGCGUGAGUGAUGAAGGCCUUAGGGUUGUAAAGCUCUUUUACCCGGGAUGAUAAUGACAGUACCGGGAGAAUAAGCUCCGGCUAACUCCGUG